rnacentral:rRNA from 1 species
ACGCUGGCGGCAGGCCUAACACAUGCAAGUCGAGCGGUAGAGAGAAGCUUGCUUCUCUUGAGAGCGGCGACGGGUGAGUAAUGCCUAGGAAUCUGCCUGGUAGUGGGGGAUAACGUCCGGAAACGGACGCUAAUACCGCAUACGUCCUACGGGAGAAAGCAGGGGACCUUCGGGCCUUGCGCUAUCAGAUGAGCCUAGGUCGGAUUAGCUAGUUGGUGGGGUAAUGGCUCACCAAGGCGACGAUCCGUAACUGGUCUGAGAGGAUGAUCAGUCACACUGGAACUGAGACACGGUCCAGACUCCUACGGGAGGCAGCAGUGGGGAAUAUUGGACAAUGGGCGAAGGCCUGAUCCAGCCAUGCCGCGUGUGUGAAGAAGGUCUUCGGAUUGUAAAGCACUUUAAGUUGGGAGGAAGGGCAGUUACCUAAUACGUGAUUGUUUUGACGUUACCGACAGAAUAAGCACCGGCUAACUCUGUGCCAGCAGCCGCGGUAAUACAGAGGGUGCAAGCGUUAAUCGGAAUUACUGGGCGUAAAGCGCGCGUAGGUGGUUCGUUAAGUUGGAUGUGAAAUCCCCGGGCUCAACCUGGGAACUGCAUUCAAAACUGACGAGCUAGAGUAUGGUAGAGGGUGGUGGAAUUUCCUGUGUAGCGGUGAAAUGCGUAGAUAUAGGAAGGAACACCAGUGGCGAAGGCGACCACCUGGACUGAUACUGACACUGAGGUGCGAAAGCGUGGGGAGCAAAC